rnacentral:tRNA from 1 species
UCCCUGGAGGACUAGUGGUCAGGCCUCGGCGCUCUCACCGCCGCGGCCCGGGUUAGAUUCCCAGCCAGGGAC